CAGGGAUGGCUGAGCCUGGUGGGCUGCCGUCUAUGGGGUCGCACAGAGUCGGACACGACUGAAGCGACUUAGCAGCAACUCCAUUUUAUACCUACCAUAGUCUUCAUUUUUUAACUUACUUACUUUGGAUCCUUUGGGUGGCAUACUUCUGAGUUUUUACAUAUCACAAACUCCUUUUAUUGACUUUACACAAUUUGACGAGGUUUAUAGUUCCGAGUUCAUAAAAAUGUUUCCAUCAAAAUUUUGUACACAUUAUUUUUUCAUGUGUUGUUACUGAAUAUUAUAGAGCAAAAUAGUUUUUGUCUUCUCAUAUACACCAGGAUUUAUUUCUUUGGGGGUAUUUGGAAGAUGGUUUUUGUUUGAGUUGGAGGUUCGCAGGAUAUUUAUUCAUCUUUAAAUUCAAAUAUGUCACCAGGAAAUUUUACCUGAGGCUCUGGAGGAGACCUUGUGUUCUAUAUCCUCAGGUCUUCAGUUUUCUGAAUUACAUUUUCCUUUUUUUUUUGCAAAUUUCAUGCUCUCGUUGGAGACAUAGGUGCCUAACUGAAAGAGGAUUUCUUUUUUUAAAAAACAACUAUGUUCAUUAAUAACUAUUAAGUAACCUGGAUGUAACUUAGUGACUAUUAGGAUAAAAAUGCAUACAUCUGAACAAUUCCAAACAAUGAAGUCUAAAACAUUACAUGAAAUAGAUGGAGAUGAUGGAAUAAUAUUUCAAAUGAACAAUGAUAGCAAAGCAAUGUCAAAUCAUAACUAAUAGAACUGGUUUUUCAAGGGGUGAAAUUCACUAUUUUCAAGAAAUCUAAAUAGUGAACGAUUAUUUUAAUGGUGUGGUAUACAACUCUUGAUGAAUUAAAAAAUUUAAAAACUCAAGACAUAGUGGAGGAACACAGAACUGAAGCAAGAUAUGAAAGUAAAAAGCAGACUAACUGAAAAAUGUCCUUACUUUUCCUUGGUUCUCUGGACUCAUCCCUCCAGAGAAUGAGUUUCAUGAAAGAGCAGUCUUUAGACCUCCCAUUAGCUUGCAGGGGUCUUUUUGCCUUUUUACAUUAGAAUAAGGUUCUUGGUGGAAUGGCUGACACUUUGUGCUCUCAACUGUAUGAAGUUAGAUCUUUUGUAGAGAUGAUGAAUAGCUCCUUCAGUGUCUAACAGAAAGUUUCCUAUCGUUUAUCUCAAGUGGUUGAGGUUUAUACCAUGGACGUGGAGCAUUUGACACAUAAUGUUCUUUUCUUUUACACAUUGACUCUUGUUGCAGAGUCUCAUGCCUCGUAAUCUGGAUAUAAAAUAUAUAAUUUACCCUCAGAAAGGGUGACAGCUACCACAUUCAACCUCUAAAUCUGAGGAAUGUUGGUCUACCAAUGUAUGUGCUAGAUCAGAGGUCAGCAAAAUUUUUCUUUAAAUGGACAGACAAUAAAUAUUUUAGGAUUUUCA
rnacentral:lncRNA from 1 species